AUCCAACCUGCCGUCUACUCUUGGACAGCCUUCUGAAAGGAAGAUUAAUACAAGAUGGCAUCAUGAGUCCGCAUGUUCACAUGAUUAAAGGUAUUCCGGUAGACGAUGGGGAUGCGUUCCAUUAGAUAGUAGGCGAGGUAACGGCCCACCUAGUCUUCGAUGGAUAGGGGUUCUGAGAGGAAGGUCCCCCACAUUGGAACUGAGACACGGUCCAA
rnacentral:rRNA from 1 species